AUGAGUUUAAGUAAGUCCAUUUUUUCUCGACUGACAGAGCAAAUGUUCAGAUGCUUUAAAAUUUAAAGAGCAAAAUGUAGGCAUGGGUAAAUCAGCUCAGAAGAGGUAGGAAAUUCCCAUUCAAGCCAAAUAAUCUCCUUUUGGUUUGUGUGCUUGCUUAAUUCUCCUUGGUUUUGUUUGUUUUUAAUUUCCUAUAAGGAAAUUUUGAGAGCUUGGCAUUCCCAACAUCCUUCACUAUAUCUAAAAUCUCCGUGUUUCAUCAGGGACUUGCAACCAGAAGGGAGAAUGAUGUAUGAACUUUGCCAAUGAAUGCACCUAUGGGCACAGGUACACUUGCAUGAAAAUUAUUUUCAUGGCUGAAUGCUCAUUAAUAUUAAUGAGGUAACAUAGUUGCUCUGUAUAUAUUAAAGACUAUUCCCCUUUUCAAGGACAUUUCUUAUUUGAAGAAGAGCUACCAUAGUAAAAAAGUUUGGUAGCUGUACAAAGCACUUCAGGAAGUCCAAAAGUGAGUUACUGAAGAUUUUUAUGUGCAUUUUCUGUUCUGUGCAGUUUAAAAUGGUUUAUAUGGAAAAAAUGUAGCGAGGGUCAUUGUGCCUAGGAGUUGACACCUUCAAGUAGUCUGAAAUCCAUAUUCUUUUGUGAAAUAACUUGAGAUUUACUCUAAAUUAUUUAAAGUUCGAAUUCUUUGAGGAUAAAAAGAGUCCAAGAUAUUUUGAGGAUGACAUUUUGCCGUGGUCCUAACUGUGUUGCAUCCACCAAGAAUCGUGGUUCUCCCGUCUCCUAGUCCUUCCAGCGCCUGGGCAGAGACCGUAGCUCGGAAUGGGUGUGUGAGAUGCAGCCGGUGCCGUGACAGCCUGCGGUGCUUUCGGGUUGCCCUGCCGAGCCGUGGCUACCCCUGGCAGCAGCUUGGGAAGCUGCGGGGAGACGGCAGCAGCAGCGGCGGCGCAGCCGGAGCGUACGGAACCAGCACAUUCCUGCCCACAUCUCCAGCCGGGAUCAGCCCCGGCUCCACAGCCGUGUCCCCCGCGCUCUCCGCACGCUUGUGUUGAGCCUGGCGCCUUCCAUUCUUUGGGGAACCGGGAGAAGUUUCUGACGGAGCCGCUCAGCCCCAGCAGCCACAGCAGCGGAGCCUCUGACAGCCGCCCCGUGCCGGGAUGCUCGGGAUGCCCCCGCCCAGCUGAGCGCGCUCGGGCCGGUCCCGGGGCAGCAGGAUUAAAAAAAAAAACAAAAAAAACCCCAAGAAAUGGAGUGUACAGGCAGCGGCGCUGGCUGAGGGCCGAGCUGGGACAGCCCUCGGCGCCCCGCCGGCCGCGCAGGUACCCCCGGCCCGCGGCGCUGAGGGGGCACGGCCGGGGCGGGACGCGGCCCUGGGUGGGAGCGGCCCUGAGGGCGGCGGGCGCAGGGGCGGCCCGGGCGGCGAGGCGGGCGCUGCCAGGGCGAGCCGGGGGGCGGCUCCCCGGACCGGCCCCCCGGGAAACGCGGCCCCGGCGAGCCAGGGAGAACCGGAGGAGGCGGCGGCGGCGGCGGCGGCCGGUGCCGGGGGCACCGCGGCGCUACCCGGUCCGAGGGACCGGCGCUGUGCCCCUCUUGCAGACCUGUUCCAUCCCUUUGGAUCCAUUACCUCCCAUUGGAACCAUCCCACCAGGACAGAGGAGCAGGCUCAUCCUCGUGGCUGCCUUCAGAACUGCUCCACUUGUGGGUACAGAGGGUUAGCUCUGGGACAGCACAGUGAAAACA
rnacentral:lncRNA from 1 species